UACGUAGGGAGCAAGCGUUGUCCGGAAUCAUUGGGCGUAAAGCGCGCGUAGGCGGCCUCAUAAGUCCGUUGUGAAAGUCAAAGGCUCAACCUUUGAAAGCCGAUGGAUACUGUGAGGCUAGAGUCCGGAAGAGGCGAGUGGAAUUCCUGGUGUAGCGGUGGAAUGCGCAGAUAUCAGGAGGAACACCUGAGGCGAAGGCGGGUUGCUAGGCUGACACUGACGCUGACAGCGCGAAAGCCAGGGGAGCAAACGGG
rnacentral:rRNA from 1 species